CGUUUGCCGGAGGCCGCGGCGGGAUGCGGCAUUCCCGCCAUGUCGGACCCGGGCGCGCCGGACGCGGCCUCGGGCUCCGGCUCGGGCUCGGGGUUCGGGGGCCGCAGGAGGACCUGGACCGAGCUGCUGGCGGGAAGGGUCGGGAGGCAGCCGCUGGGUCCCGGAAGGGAGCACGAGCUACGGGAAUCAGCCGCGCGCCUCCUGAGACGCCAUCUGAACCUGAAGGAUCUUCUGGUUGAGGUAGAAGGUCCUGCAUGUAAAACUCUGUGUCUCGAUCAGUUGAUGGGUCCCGAGGCCUCUGCCGGUUCUUCUAGUUCAUUCAUAGGUUCUGCUUUAUGGGAUCAAGCCUCGAAACUGGGUGUCCCAGUGGCUGUGCUGUCCAGCCGGACAGUGGUGUCCAGCAUUGUGCAGAUCUGUGCGUCCAGUGGCGAGCCCUCCCAGAAGGUGCUGUUGAAUGCAGAGCAAAGGAAGAAACUGUCUUCCUUGUUGGAGGUGGCUCAGUAUUUAUUAGCUCAUAGUAUGUUCUCCCGUCUCUCCUUCUGUCAAGAGCUAUGCGAAGUCCAGAAUUCUUUGUUGCUUGAAGCUGUGUGGCGUCUUCACGUACAGAACAUUGUGAGCCUCCCGGAGCUGUGGGAAAGUCAUGCCGACACGCAGUCCACGGUUGCGUGGCUCUUCAGGGACCUGUGCCUUCUGUGUGAGCAGAUGGAAGCGUCCACUCAGCACACAGACAUCGCCCGGACUAUGCUUUCUGAUUUUGUGCAGUUGUUUGUUUUGAGAGGAUUUCAGAAAAACUCGGAUCUCAGAGGUGUGGAGCCUGCACGCGUGGCCCGGGUUGCGGUGACCGUGCUGCAGAGGAUGCUGGUCUUCGCUCUCGAGGCAUUGGCCACCGGGCCACAGGACGAAUCCCCAGUGUACAGGACAGUGAAGAACUGGUUCGGCGUGUUCUGUGGACCCAUGUAUGGCGGAACGAUUUCAGCAGAUGUGCCAAAGAGAUUUUUCAGUCAUACUCUGACUCAGGUGCUAACUCACAAGCCUGUGCUGAGAGUUUCUGAUGCUGUUCGGAUGCAGAGAGAGUGGAGCUUCGCAAAGACCCACCCUCUGCUCACCAGUCUGUACCGCAGGCUCUUCGCCAUACUGGACCCCGAGGAGCUGCUUGGCCACUUGCAGGAGGUUCUAGAAACACACGAGGUGAACUGGCGGCACGUGCUCUCCUGUGUGUCUACACUGGUGAUCUGCCUGCCUGAGGCGCAGCGACUGAUUAAAGACUGGGUGGCCCAACUGCUGGCCCGUGCGUUUGAGAACUGCGACCUGGACAGCAUGGUCACCGCGUUCCUGGUGGCACGUCAGGCUGCGCUGGAGGGCCCCUCUGCGUUCCCGUCCUACCCAGACUGGUUCCAGGCCUCCUUUGGGAACACGAGGGGCUUCCACAGUGGCAGCAAGAAGACACUGGUCUUUCUCUUCAAGUUCCUGUCAGACCUCGUGCCCUUUGAGGCACCCCGGUACCUACAGGCACACAUUCUCCACCCACCGCUGGUGCCGAGCAAGUACCGCUCCCUCCUCACGGACUACAUCGCGCUGGCCAAGACGCGCCUAUCUGACCUGAAGGUUUCAAUGGAAAACAUGGGCCUCUACGAGGAUGUGUCUUCAGCCGGGGACAUCACAGAGCCCGAUAGCCAAGCACAGCAGGAUGUGGAGAAGGCCAUCACGGUGUUCGAACACACAGGAAAGAUUCCUGUCGCUGUCAUGGAGGCCAGCAUCUUCAGGAGACCCUACUACGUGUCGCACUUUCUCCCUGCCCUGCUCACUCCUCGUGUGCUUCCAAGAACCCCUGAUUCCAGAGCGGCCUUGAUAGAGUCCCUGAGGAGGGCAGAUAAAAUUCCCCCGUCUCUGUACUCCACCUAUUGCCAAGCCUGUUCCACUGCCGGAGAGAAGAAGCCAGAAAGUGCAGCCCCAGGGAAGACGGCGGAUGCCAGCUGCGUGGAGGAGCCUCUGGGACUGCUUGCGGCUGCGCUCAGAGAGUUCCGAGCCGCCGUGGCAGACCCCGCGCAGGGUGAUGAUCUUUCUGCUCACCUGGCACUGGUCUCCGAGCGGCUCAGCUCCGUCCUGGGCCCGGGAGAGGACGACAGCAGCCUGGGGCUCUCUCGGGUCCAGCUCAGCCUCCGGGCUCCACACCUGGAGCAGCAGGAACAGGAGGUCGCGGACCUCCUGUUGACUUCUUUCUGUCAGAACCUGAUGGCGGCCUCCAGCUUCACACCAGCAGACAGGCAGGGUCCCUGGGCUGCGCGCUUUGUGACAACUGUGUGUGGACGCAGGCUCCUCCCUGUCAUGCUCACCCGGCUCUGCCAGCUGCUCCGUCAUCAGGGCCCGAGCCUGAGUGCCUCCCACGUGCUGGGCUUGGCUGCCCUGGUCGUGCACCUGAGCGAGUCCAGGUCUGCGCUCCCAGACGUGCACGUGGCCCUUCCUGCCCCCGCCGAGAGCCUCCCUGUCCCAGAGUUCUUCAGUAGCCUUCUGCCGUUUGGAACCGUGGAGACCUCACUCUUCUGCCUGAAAUUUUGUACAGCGGCAAUUUCUUACUCUUUGUGUAAGUCUCCUUCUGUGUCACAAGAUACUUUGUACAGCUGCUUACCUCCAGCCCUCCUGAAAAAGUUCCAGUUCAUUCUCUUCAGGCUGUUCUCAGAAGCCCGAGAACCCCCGUCUCAGGAGGACGUAGCCGGCCUUCCCUGGAGGCUCCUGUGCCUGCCGUCCGCGGACUGGCAGCGAGCCGCCCUCUGUCUGUGGAAACAGAGAACCUUCCAAGAACUGUUGAAGAAGAAGGAAGUUCAUUUGACUUACAGAGACUGGUUACGGCUGGAGCUGGAAAUCCAACCCGAGCUUGAUUUUCUUUCGGAUAUGGAAAGGUGGGACUUCCAGCAGUGGGCGAUCCGUGAGCGCUUCCUCCCCGCGCCGUCUGCUGCGGGGGGUUGUGAUGGGGAGCUGCAGACCGCAUGCUCGGUUCUCGUCGAUGUGCUGAUAGACUUCUGCCACAGUUUUAGGAGUUACAACUGCUCAGAGAAUUCUGAUUUGGUUCUCGGUAGCUGCACAGGAAAUCGAGAUAUUUUUUCCAGAUUGCAGGAGAUGGUUGCUGACCUGGAACAGGGCCCAGCGGAGUCCCAGAGCUGCCGUCCUUCGCAGGGGCACUUCCUUUUCAGAGUGUUCCGCACCCGGCUCCAGGCUCUGGCAGGCGGCUGGGAUGUGGCCGCCCGCCUUCAGAGACAGCGGGAGCUACUUGUGUACAAAUGGAUCCUCCUCGGUCUGCCCCCAUCCGUUCUCGUCGGCAGCCCCCAGGCCAAACAGCCAGCCGCCCCUGACUGCACGGAGUUCUUCCAGUUGGUCAACUCUGAGCUGAGGAACUUAUGCUCUCACGGAAGUGCCCUGACCCACGACAUCACCAUCCACUUCUUCAGGGGGCUCUUCAACGCCUGUUCACAAAGCAGAAACCCCGCCCUGACCGCAGACCUGGUCCUGAGCGCAUGCCAGACUGAGUGCCCCAUAGUCCUGACCUCUGCUCUGUUGUGGUGGCCACGCCUGGAGCCUGACCUUCGCAGCCGGUGGAGGAGCUGCUUCCACGGCCCGCUGCCCCAGGAGCUGCAGAGACUGGGGGAGGCCCGGCAGUUCGGCAGGAGCUGCCUCUCCGCCGACUCGGCACGCCCCCCACCGGGCCCGGCCUGGCUCUCCGCGGCGGCGCUACACUUCGCCAUCCAGGGAGCCAGCAAAAGCAGCAUCAAGAGCGAGCUCGAGAAGCCGGCCUGCCAGGGAGACGAGCUGCUGCUUGUCCUGUUCUUCUUCUCCUUAAUGGGCCUGCUUUCGUCACACCUGACCCCACACUCAAGACAUCAGUCACCAUUCAUGACUCAACAGAAGGAGCAAAGGCUCCCUUCUGGGCUAGAGGUCACCCUGAGCAGUCAGCCAGCCUCCUCUUGUGCGGGCCACAGGCUGCUGACUCCCUGAAGGCUCUGGACAUCUGCGCAGAGAUCCUGGGGUGUUUGGAGAAGAGGAAGGUAUCCUGGCUGGCACUCUUUCAGCUGACAGAGGCAGGUAAGACAGUCCCUGGGACCUGGUAGCAGAGAACAGCCUGUGUCUGUCCCAGUUACCAGCCAUCUCUGGGGAAGACAGGUGACUCAGCAGACGCAGGCUGUGGUCCCCACUUUGUUUAGUCCUUUUUCCAAAAAUGACUCCACUGGGUAGGUAUAAACGUUUGGGCUUUAAAGUACUAACUCAUUUUUGGAAGUCUAUCUUCUUGGUAAGUAUAUAAACUACAUUUUAGAGUAACUGCAGUAUAAACUCAUCUCAACAAUGAAAGAGUGGAAUCCUCAGGGUCCCAGAGUGCCACUGAGCCCUUAUGUGGGGGCGUAGGGGUCUAUCUCCCAGGCUCUGCCCUCCAGCGUGGGGACAGCCCCCCCCCCCCGACACCAGCCAGGCACCUGAGGUGUCCUGAACAUGCUCGUGCUGGGGUGGGGAGGCAGCCACAAAACUAAACCUGCCCCUCCCCACUUUGGUUGCAGAGGGUGGCCUGGGGCCUGUCCUCCUCCGCCUGGCCCCAGACCCACACAUCAGGCUGCUGCCAUUUGCCUUCUACAGCCUUCUCUCCUGUUUCGAUGAAGACGCCCUCCUGAGGGAAGAUGCCUUCCUGCACGUCGCUGUCGACAUGUACCUAA